rnacentral:lncRNA from 1 species
AUAGUUGUAAAAUAGUUGAUAUAGUUUGAAAGUUGCCCAGAAGCUCAACACUUGAUGAUUAACAGAUUACAAAAACCAAAUGAGUGGGAGUAGUUCCAUUAGCCCCACGAUUCCUAAUGAGCAAAACUACAAGAAUACAAAAUAGGGAUACAGUUCAGAUGAUAAUGGCAUUCCUCUUGCUGCAAAAUGGAACAUUUUCAAAGACUAAACUACUGAAUAUAUAUCUAAAUAUGAAAAUUUGAUCUUAAGUACAUUUCUGAAACUACUUCUGAAAAACAUAUAUUUGAAACCAUGGGUGAAAACAGAGGGAAAAAAAGCCACACUUGCUAGUCAGGUCUUGCUUCUUUAGCCCAUGUAAAAACAUAGACACAUGGGUAAUGCACUACUGGUUAUCCACAGUGAAAUUUAAACGUGCAAUUGUGCUUAUGUUCUGACAAAUUUGGAGUGUCCAUCAGCCACAGAAAGCCAUCACCUCACUCAUCAGGAGUUUAAUAAAUAUGAGGUACUUCAGAGGAAACGUUUUGACUGAUGUGGUCUGUUUUCUGAUGGAGAUAUAUCACAAAGAAAUUUGCCACCACUCCUAAGAAAAAAACCUGCACAUUGGCUGCAGCCUGUGGGCUUGUAAGAUGACUGGAGUGACCUGCUUCUUGGGGCUACUGUUGGGAAAAACAGUUAUUUGCUCAACACUGUGGAGAAAGCCCAUGUCAAAGCCUGAAAAGAAACGGAUUCCUCCUGAAUGCUGUGUUGAUACUUUGGCCACAGCACCAUCCAUCUGCUGCACAAACAGCAGCCACAUCCCAGUCCAGCUGAGUGCCCACAGGAUAAAGAUGAUAGUUGUGAGAGCAUCUAAAGCAGAGAGACCAUCAGGAUCCAGAACCUUCCCACUAUGGCCUCUACCUCUUGCUUCAUUAUUUUCAUCACAGCCUUUCUUUCCCAAAUAAGGGUAGAUCACAUUUCUAUUUCUGGAGGGGAAUUGAAGCAAAAUCGACCAUAUUAAAUUAAGUUCAGUUACAUCUUCCCCAUCUCUUUAUGAGAUGCAAGUCAAACCUUGGAUGGGAUGCCAUCUCCACUCCUUGCCCUCUUUCUAAACAAAUUCAGUGGAGUGACAUGGCUUGAAUUCACCUCAGCUAUUAUUCAGAGAAUAAAAUGAAGAGUAGCAGCA